UACAGAGGUCUCAAGCGUUGUUCGGAUUCAUUGGGCGUAAAGGGUGCGUAGGUGGCGUCGUAAGUCAGGUGUGAAAUCUCGGGGCUUAACUCCGAAACUGCAUUUGAUACUGCGGUGCUUGAGGACUGGAGAGGAGACUGGAAUUUACGGUGUAGCAGUGAAAUGCGUAGAGAUCCGGAAGAACACCGGUGGCGAAGGCGGCCUGCUGGGCAGUAGCUGACGCUGAGGCGCGACAGCGUGGGGAGCAAACAGG
rnacentral:rRNA from 1 species